CGCAGCAGGCGCGAAAACUUUACAAUGCGGGAAACCGUGAUAAGGGAACUCCGAGUGUCCGUAAAUGCGGACUGUCCGUAUGUUUAAAAAGCAUGCGAAGAAAGGGCCGGGCAAGACCGGUGCCAGCCGCCGCGGUAAUACCGGCGGCUCGAGUGGUGGCCACUAUUAUUGGGCUUAAAGCGUUCGUAGCUGGGUCGUUAAGUCUCUUGGGAAAUCUACCGGCUUAACCGAUAGGCGUCCAAGGGAUACU
rnacentral:rRNA from 1 species